rnacentral:misc_RNA from 1 species
UGCUUGACGUGUUGUGUUGAUUUGGUGUUGAUAUUUGACCGGGUAGGGUAAAAAAAACAAAAAAUAAUUCAACAGCUAAAUUCUCGUUGUAAUAUAUCGUAAUUGCUGGGCAUUGCAACUAACACUAAAUCAAAAAUGCCUAAAGCUGGAAAUGAAGGAGACAUUUUAUUAAAGGAAAAAUAUGUUUCUUCAUCAAAAGAGAGACUUUACAUCAAGCCACCUGAGCAGCAAAAUAUUGUUGUACUAGAAGAGAGGCGCUUCAGAGACAUAACUAACUGGUUUACACAAAUAUUUCUACCUCAGGGCUAUCCAGAUAGUGUUAGCAAAGAUUACUCACCUUACCAAGUGUGGGACACAGCUCAAGCCUUCUGUAGUACAAUUGCAGGCAUCCUUGCAACCCAGGAGGUACUUCGAGGAGUAGGGGUGGGAGACACAAAUGCUACCCCUCUCGCAGCUACUGUUACAUGGGUCCUGAAGGAUGGCUGUGGACAUGUUGGGAGAAUUGUAUUUGCUUUCAGCCAUGGAACUUACCUAGAUGCAUACAGUAAAAAAUGGAGACUUUAUGCUGACACGCUCAAUGACGCAGCAAUGUGCAUAGAAAUAGCUUUGCCACUCUUCCGGAACUACACUACGUUUGCAUUAUGCGUCAGUACUGUCAUGAAGGCUAUUGUUGGUGUUGCAGGUGGUGCUACUCGUGUGGCGAUGACCCAGCACCACGCGAUAAGAGGCAACAUGGCUGAUGUGUCGGCGAAGGACUCUGCCCAAGAAACUGCGGUCAAUCUGAUUGCUUCGCUCAUAGCACUGUCAUUUAUUACUGUAUUUGGAAACAACAUCUUAGUAUUUAUAAUGACGAUAAUUCUUCAUAUUACGUUCAACUAUUUUGCUGUGAGAGCUGUUUGUCUGAAAACAUUGAACGAAUCAAGAUUCCUACAAGUUAUCGAAACAUAUUUGAAGAAAGAAGUUAUAGCUACGCCUUGCGUAAUAAAUCAGAAUGAACCAAUCAUAUUUUAUCAAUUAGGACCAAAUCUGUUAGACUUAAAGAUGACCGGGUUCCAAAUAAAACUAGGGGCUUCAAUAAAAGCGUUCCUAAAGUGCAACCCUAAGGCGGCGAACCUAAAGGUCCUGAGCGAGAUGUACGAGCGGCGCAGGUACAUCCUGCUGGCAGACGUGACGCGCCGCCAGGUGCUGGUGGCGGUGAAGGACGCCGCCACGCCCGACGACGUGCUGUGUGCCUACUUCCACGCCGUGCUGCUGUCCAUCGUCACGUGCGCACUCAACGACCACUACCUGCCUAUAUAUCAGGGCACAUCAGGCUACCCCCGGCCUUUCGCCCUGAUGUGCCAAGCGGUGCAAGCGUCCGAGUGGAGCCGCUCGGCCGUGGAAGGCGCCGCCCCCGGCUGCUUCGCGUACGGCCCUACGGCGGAGCUCAUGCGCUACGUCGACAAGGUUGUCAAUAAGGAGUGGGAUCGGAUGAAGGCCGGCAUGAAGCAGACAGGUUGGGACCUGAGUAAACACCUGCUAAUGGUCGACGAAUGGCGUAUAUCUAAACAAGCCAACGCCACAGAAGAACCACCCUCGAACAAAUUGCACUUGAAUGAAGAAAUCGGGGAACCGGGCAACCGGGAUUUACUCGGCGAUUAUGACGUACACAAUAGAGAGUUUAGUACCGAAUCCAGUAGUAGUAGGACUUUCGAGAGGCUACCGAGUGGAACGAUAUUCAGGAGAUGUUCGGACGCAAGAGUACUGAGCGCGACCGAAGCGAAACCCGACAUGAUUGAUCUCGACAAUCAAUGACUGGUAGACGUCGAAGUGGAUGUUAUUAAGCUGCGUCCGCUACUGCCCGUUAAAAGCAAACUUUGAGUCAGGAUCUAUCAUCGGAAAGUGAAUCAAACCCAAAAUUUGAUGCCUCAAGUGCUCGCAAACGAAAACAGCCUGACCUCGAUGCGAACAUAACAAAAGCGCUGGACAAUUUCAUGGCAAAUAUGCAGAAGUCACUUGAUGACUUUAAGGCUGAUAUACGGGCAGAUCUCAACAAUUUACGCACAGACUACGCUCAGAUCAAGACCACAUUAGAAGCCACCAACAUGAAGCAGAAUGAGUUGAGCCAAACGGUCUCGGAGGUACGCACCAGCUUAGACUUGUCCUCUGACCGUCAAGACAAGCUUGAAAAACGUGUAGAAUCAACUGAAAAAUACAUCGACACACAAAAAAAGGAGCUAAUUCUUUGUCAGAUGUAAAACAGAACGUUAUUGACCUGCAAAUACAAUUAAACGACUACCAACAACGCGAGCGAAUCAAUAAUUUGGAAAUCAGCAGCUUGCCCGAACGUGACAGAGAAAAUCUCACGGAAAUAAUUAUCGCAAUCGCUAAAGUUUGCGGCGUCACUCUGACCAUGGACGACAUCGAACAUGCUAACCGAGUAAAACCCCGUCAAGCUGUCGCUGGCAGGCCCAGAGCUGUCAUAGUCAAACUCAAAACCAGGUUACAUAAAGACAACAUCUUAGCUGGCAUCCGCAAGGCUCGCGGAAUCACAACAGAAGACAUCGAAUUACCAGGUGCCCGCAAACCCAUUUAUAUCAACGAGCAUCUGACACCAUAUAACAAGGCCCUGCUGAAGAAAACCCGAGAUGCCGCCACCGACAAGCAGUACCAGUACGUUUGGACAAAAAACUGUCAGAUACUAACACGCAAAAAUCAAGGGGCCCCGGCUUUGCAUCUCCGUUCAGAAGAAGAUCUACGCAAAAUCCGAUAAGUUUUAGUAUCAGCGCGCGCAUGCUAAUUCUAGCCCUAAUUAAGUUAUAUUUAUAUAAUCAAUCGAGCGAAUCUGUCAUAAUAUAUUUUAAUUACAAACAUACACAACACUCAUUACACACACA